ensembl:miRNA
UUAGGUUGGUGCAAAAGUAAUUGUGGUUUUUGACAUUAAAAGUAAUGGCCAAAACCUCAAGUACUUUCUCACCAACCUAAUAA